rnacentral:rRNA from 1 species
CUGAACCAGCCAAGUAGCGUGAAGGAUGAAGGCUCUAUGGGUCGUAAACUUCUUUUAUAUGGGAAUAAAGUAUUCCACGUGUGGAAUUUUGUAUGUACCAUAUGAAUAAGGAUCGGCUAACUCCGUGCCAGCAGCCGCGGUAAUACGGAGGAUCCGAGCGUUAUCCGGAUUUAUUGGGUUUAAAGGGAGCGUAGGUGGAUUGUUAAGUCAGUUGUGAAAGUUUGCGG